GAUGAACGCUAGCGGCAGGCCUAACACAUGCAAGUCGAGGGGUAACAUAGAAAAAGCUUGCGUUUUCUGAUGACGACCGGCGCACGGGUGCGUAACGCGUAUACAACCUACCUUUUAGCGGGGAAUAGCCCACGGGAAACUUGGAUUAAUACCCCAUAGUAUAUAGGAAUCUCCUGAUUUUUAUAUUAAACAUUUAUGGCCAUUAGAUGGGUAUGCGUCCUAUUAGCUAGUUGGUGUGGUAACGGCACACCAAGGCUACGAUAGGUAGGGGUCCUGAGAGGGAGAUCCCCACACUGGUACUGAGACACGGACCAGACUCCUACGGGAGGCAGCAGUGAGGAAUAUUGGACAAUGGGCGGGAGCCUGAUCCAGCCAUGCCGCGUGCAGGAAGACUGCCCUAUGGGUUGUAAACUGUCUUUUACAGAGGAAGAACCACCCCCACGUGUGGGGGUUUGACGGUACUCUGCGAAUAAGGAUCGGCUAACUCCGUG
rnacentral:rRNA from 1 species